ensembl:miRNA
GGUGAGUAGGAGCCGGUGGGGCUGGAGUAGGGGCACGCCCGGGGCUGCCCCACCUGCUGACCACCCUCCCC